GGAGGUGGACGAUAGGGACGCCAUCGAUCGCGACGCUAGGGUUCCUAGCCACUGCCACACGCACAGCCGGACAAAGUCACCUCCGCUCUUGCGGCCAUCGAUGGUCCUCCCCACCGUCGCCCGGAAUUGUUCCGCCCAUCUCUGCUCGCCCCCGAGUAGGAAGGCCGUGGCGAAUCUGGCACCUAUAGUCGGAAGCAACAGGGUUGGUGGAGUGGCGCAUGCUGGCGGGGCCGGUAGUUGAGGGGGCUCACCGGCCGUAGCGGCAGGAGCGGUCGGGGAAUCACAUCGCAAGAGGCUGCCUUGGUGAUGAUCUUGCUACAAGUUUCUUCUUGGGUUUACACGGUAACCGUGCAGGCAACUGGUGGUGGAGUCUCGCCGGAUGAUGUGACGGCAGCCAUCGUCCAUAUUAAUUGAUUCAGUAUGUAUGCUCAAACUUUCCCUUGUAAGGCAAGACACUUCAGAGACCAAUGGUUGACAGUCACAGCUGAUACGUAGAACUGCAGGUGCACACACAGCUGCUUCAUCAAGUUCUCUGAAAAAAGCUUGUGUUCUGGUUGAGUUAUUGUGAAGUUGUAGUUGCUAACUUGCUAUUAACUUGAAAAAAGAUAUGUUAAUUUGGUUAAUUUCCUUUGGCUAGUGUCACGUGUAAACUGAAGCAUGUAAACAAUACCAUUUUUUCUAUUUGAUGCAUCCUCUCAAAGCUGAUGUGUCUCACUUCCAUGGAAUUAACCACUUCAACCAAGAAACCAAAUUUUGUUUUACAAAAUUAAUAUCAUCUCCAAGUUCCAGCUGAGUCUCUCCAAUGGAAGUACUCCACCAAAUAUAUUUCUAAAAUCUGCAGGUUGAACGACUACCAAAUACAUAGGGUUAUACAGAAACAAUGUCAUAUAUAACGAAGAACUUGACUAGGAAAUUAGACUUUGCUGUGAUGCCA